rnacentral:lncRNA from 1 species
UAUAAAUAUCAAUUACAUGAAUUUGAAAGAUAAAUUACAAUAAAUAUCCUAUCACAUCUCAUAUGCGAUUGGCUUGUAAGGUAUUAUUCUUUCAAUAUGAUGGUGCUUGGGAUAUAGGGCGUGGAAGAAGAGGAAGAGUCCUCUUGGAAGAAAUUUGAAUACCAAAUAAUAAGGGAUGCCUUAUAUAUAUGCAUUGAAUGUGGAAGAGUCUUAGUUGUUAAGGACUCUUAUUCUCUUACGUUAAUUCCCUUUCCACAUGCCAUAUGAUGGUGUAUUAAUUUUUUCCUAGCAGAGGAAGAGUCCUACUAGUGAAUUACCUUUUAUUCCAUGCCAACCUAUUGGAUUCCAUGCUAAAAUUAAUUGAAGGCAUGUAAGAAUGAAGGAACGCCACAUGGUGUCGCCCCUUAUCUCCUAUAAAUGGGGAGCGCUACACCUGAUUUCUAUGUGCUAUUUUUGGCUGUGGAUGGGCAUGAGAAUGAGAGAAAAAAAGUUAAAAAAGUUUUAAAAAAAAAGACAAGGGAAAAUAAGAAAAAAAUAGAAAGAAAGAAAAGAAAAAAUUGGAAAGCAUGUGAUGCUUGUCCAAAAAUCAGAUUAUUCAUGUGUUGAACAUAAAAAUCUAAUUUGUGUAUGGUAUGAUCUUUUGAGAAAAGAUUUCUAAAGAGGUCUUAGUGGAGAUCAUGAAGGAAUACAAGUAACGGUGCAACCAAUUUUUACGAAAGACAGUUGGCAGUGAGCUUGCGAAGAAAGCUGCAAUGCCAUGAUGAAUUGGAAAGGACCUUGAUCAGUCCCGUAUGGAUCACCAUUGGAGGGCUUCUACUUUGGAGUUUCAUGAAAAUAUCUAGAUUACCUGUUUGUGGUCUUCAUGAUGGUAUAUGACUUCUGAUCUUCUCCUAAUAAGUAUUAUUUUGAUAUUUAAUUGUAAUCAUCAAGGGGUUCUAAGAAUUUUUGUGUUUCGAUGUUCUUAUUUAAUUGUUAAACUAUGUUUUUAAUUGUUGAAUGCAUAUUAAAAAUUUUAAAAUUCAUAUUCUACUGUGUCAUCGAAAUCCAUCACUCUUCUCCUCCUCCUCUCUUCCUUCUCUAGAUCCUCUCUUGCUUUGGAGUAUCCAAGUUGCUUGAAGAAGAAGAAAAAAACCAACUAUCAAAGUUGCUUGCAGGCUAGUACCUCCAAGUUCUUGAUUUGCGUCAGUCUUCACGUAGAUUUUUUUAUAGAGGUCAGACAAUUUUGUGUGGCUAUGAGCGACCUGAGGAACACCCUCUCCAAGUGUUGGACCAGAGAAGAUCAAAAUCCAAUUGGUUUGGUAAUCAUCUCUAACCUAUUUUGAUCAUACCAUUAGAUCUAAUAGUUAGAUCUAGAAUUUCAGUAUCGAUGAGAUCGAUGUGUGUUUUUAUUUUCAAAUCUAAAGUGCAUCAUAUUUCAUAUUUUUUUCAUGGUAUGGUAGUCUAGAUUAGAUCUUAUGCAUGUGAUUUAGAUUAAAUAGUUUAAUCUUAUUCUUUCACCGCAUAAAAAUUUUAAAAUUGCAUACAUAGCACUACCUACAUUUUCUUCAUCUUAACAUCUAAUUUUCAGUAGCCCACGCCUCCUAUAAGAUCUCCCCACACCUCCCUCUCUUCUCCCCUUUGGAUCCAAUGCCCAAAGAGCUUGGUCGUCCUCUAUCUCCACACCCAAAGGAGCUUGGGCGUCUCCCCUCUUGCUUGCUGGUUUUCAGACCUUAGUUACUAUCUAAUCAAAAAAAAAAUAGUAAGAGAAGAAGAGAAAAAAAAAGAUCAAUAAAAGGAUCAAAGAGUUAAUCGUGAUCCAGAUU